rnacentral:rRNA from 1 species
CAAUAGCGUAUAUUAAAGUUGUUGCGGUUAAAAAGUUCGUAGUUGGAUUUCUGCCAAGGACGACCGGUCCGCCCUCUGGGUGAGUAUCUGGCUUGGCCUGGGCAUCUUCUUGGAGAACGUUGCUGCGCUUCACUGCGUGGUGCGGUAUCCAGGACUUUUACUUUGAGGAAAUUAGAGUGUUUCAAGCAGGCUUCCGCCUUGAAUACAUUAGCAUGGAAUAAUAAGAUAGGACCUCGGUUCUAUUUUGUUGGUUUCUAGAGCUGGGGUAAUGAUUAAUAGGGAUAGUUGGGGGCAUUCGUAUUUAACUGUCAGAGGUGAAAUUCUUGGAUUUGUUAAAGACGGACUACUGCGAAANCANNNGCCAAGGAUGUUUUCAUNGA